rnacentral:rRNA from 1 species
GAUGAACGCUGGCGGCGUGCCUAACACAUGCAAGUCGAGCGAACCCUUCGGGGUGAGCGGCGGACGGGUGAGUAACGCGUGGGUAACCUGCCCUAUACACACGGAUAACGUACCGAAAGGUACGCUAAUACGAGAUGAUAUAAGAGAUUCGCAUGGAAUUCUUAUCAAAGCUCCGGCGGUAUAGGAUGGACCCGCGUCUGAUUAGCUAGUUGGUAAGGUAACGGCUUACCAAGGCGACGAUCAGUAGCCGACCUGAGAGGGUGAUCGGCCACACUGGGACUGAGACACGGCCCAGACUCCUACGGGAGGCAGCAGUGGGGAAUCUUCCGCAAUGGACGAAAGUCUGACGGAGCAACGCCGCGUGAGGGAUGAAGGCCUUCGGGUUGUAAACCUCUGUCUUCAGGGAAGAAAAAAAUGACGGUACCUGAGGAGGAAGCCCCGGCUAACUACGUGCCAGCCGCCGCGGUAACAC